rnacentral:rRNA from 1 species
UACGGGGGGGGCAAGCGUUGUUCGGAAUUACUGGGCGUAAAGGGCUCGUAGGUGGCCAACUAAGUCAGACGUGAAAUCCCUCAGCUUAACUGGGGAACUGCGUCUGAUACUGGAUGGCUUGAGUUUGGGAGAGGGAUGCGGAAUUCCAGGUGUAGCGGUGAAAUGCGUAGAUAUCUGGAGGAACACCGGUGGCGAAGGCGGCAUCCUGGACUGUUUCUGACACUGAAAGACGAAAGCCAGGGGAGCAAACGGG